AAUAGGGGAGCUACAAAACGGCUGAGAAUGCAGAAUCCCUGCAGACCCUGAACCUGAUCUGGAUAAUGCCAGCGGAGGAAAUUAUGGAAUU
rnacentral:ncRNA from 1 species